GACGAAGGGGGCUAGCGUUGUUCGGAAUUACUGGGCGUAAAGCGAGUGUAGGUGGUUGUCCAAGUUGGAUGUGAAAGCCUUGAGCUCAACUCAAGAAAUGCAUUCAGGACUGGGCGGCUAGAGGACCGGAGAGGAUAGUGGAAUUCCCAGUGUAGUGGUGAAAUACGUAGAGAUUGGGAAGAACACCAGUGGCGAAGGCGGCUAUCUGGACGGCUUCUGACACUAAGACUCGAAAGCGUGGGGAGCAAACAGG
rnacentral:rRNA from 1 species